rnacentral:rRNA from 1 species
AGUGAACGCUGGCGGUAGGCCUAACACAUGCAAGUCGAACGGCAGCACAGGAGAGCUUGCUCUCUGGGUGGCGAGUGGCGGACGGGUGAGGAAUACAUCGGAAUCUACUUUUUCGUGGGGGAUAACGUAGGGAAACUUACGCUAAUACCGCAUACGACCUACGGGUGAAAGCAGGGGAUCUUCGGACCUUGCGCGAUUGACUGAGCCGAUGGCGGAUUAGCUAGUUGGCGGGGUAAAGGCCCACCAAGGCGACGAUCCGUAGCUGGUCUGAGAGGAUGAUCAGCCACAGUGGAACUGAGACACGGUCCAGACGCCUACGGGGGGGAGCAGUGGUGAAUAAGGGACAAGGGGCGCAAGCCUGAUCCAGCCAUACCGCGUGGGUGAAGGAGGCCUUCGGGUUGUAAAGCCCUUUUGUUGGGAAAGAAAUCCAGCUGGAUAAGACCCGGUUGGGAUGACGGUACCCAAAGAAUAAGCACCGGCUAACUUCGUGCCAGCCGCCGCCGUAA